CGGGGAAUUUUGGACAAUGGGCGAAAGCCUGAUCCAGCAAUGCCGCGUGUGUGAAGAAGGCCUUCGGGUUGUAAAGCACUUUUGUCCGGAAAGAAAUCCUUGGCUCUAAUACAGUCGGGGGAUGACGGUACCGGAAGAAUAAGCACCGGCUAACUACGUGCCAGCAGCCGCGGUAAUACGUAGGGUGCAAGCGUUAAUCGGAAUUACUGGGCGUAAAGCGUGCGCAGGCGGUUUGCUAAGACCGAUGUGAAAUCCCCGGGCUCAACCUGGGAACUGCAUUGGUGACUGGCAGGCUAGAGUAUGGCAGAGGGGGGUAGAAUUCCACGUGUAGCAGUGAAAUGCGUAGAGAUGUGGAGGAAUACCGAUGGCGAAGGCAGCCCCCUGGGCCAAUACUGACGCUCAUGCACGAAAGCGUGGGGAGCAAACAGGAUUAGAUACCCUGGUAGUCCACGCCCUAAAACGAUGUCAACUAGUUGUUGGGGAUUCAUUUCCUUAGUAACGUAGCUAACGCGUGAAGUUGACCGCCUGGGGAGUACGGUCGCAAGAUUAAAACUCAAAUGAAUUGACGGGGUCAUAGCUGUUUCCU
rnacentral:rRNA from 1 species